rnacentral:lncRNA from 1 species
GAGAUUUCAACCUUGCUGUAGCUUCACUCAACUUGAUGGGAAUCUCUGAGAUCAAAUGCUACCUCUGGCCAACAAACUGUAACAUCCAGUGCUCAUACAGACAUUUAGGCGUUUAUACAGAGAUGAAGCAGUUCCAACAGAACUCCAGGAGGAACCCACCAAGUCAAGUACAUGAUGACUGUAAAAAUUGCUGGUGUCCAGAAAGCCGUGGUUUCAGCAGUUCUGGAUCAUGCUGAGUGAAAGCUGCUGCCCUCUCCUGGAAGGAAUGCCAGAGCUCUGGGUAUGAUACUGGAGAGAUCAAGCAGUAAGCCAAGAAGCAAAGCUGGGGCAUCUUGAAGAGUUAACCUGAAGUUCAUCUGGGAAAUGAUCUCACUUUUACAGAGUGGAGCACCCACAGAUGCCUGUCCUUUACAUAAGGAAUAGGGAGCAUCCUCUUGCAGGUGAUGUGAAACCUGGCUUUGGAAGUGGAAAGCUGUUACAGUAUUUAUCAAAAGAAGGAAAAUGGGAGCAAUGUUAGAGAGUUCUACUUUCAGUCCAAAACAUUUUCUACAAGUCUCUGUUUUGUUGUGAUGUUUUCUUGCCUGUUUCUUUUCUCUGUGUUUUAGUCUCACUGUAAAACUGGUUGAACUAUACAUUAUAGCCCAGACUUUCUGUGCCUGACAGGCAAUUCCACAUCUCUCUCCCGCUACGGACCAUCUAAUUUAGAGGGAUGGUGGGCAGAAGUGACUGCUGCAAGAUGACACUAAUUUGAAGGUCCUACAAGGGUCACCAGUUGUGACCAAAGACUUGUGAAGUUUUGUAGGUUUUGAGGAACAAAACAAUAGAAGCUCCAAAGUGUGUUUUUGCUUUCCCUCUCCUGACUUCAUUUACUUGCUCAUUAAAUUCUGAAGCAUGUAGCUACACCCAUACAAAAUUACUACAUUUCGUAACCUUUAAUUGAUUUGCGUAUUUAUGGGGAAACUGGUAUUUCGGGACUAUCCAACUGUGCCAUCACUAUCACCUUUCCAUGGGUCUCUGUGUGCUUGGUUGCUACAAAGAAAUCCUGAUGUAUGUCUGCCUGGCACACACCUGGAAGCUCCGUGGGUAGAAUUCUUCACUGCAGGUUACUAAUACUGAAAUCAGGAGAGCCCUUAUUUGUAGAUGGGGCAGAUAUUCAUUGCAGCAUGCCUUGCUCUGUUUGCUUAGGUUGGGUGUUGGUAUUCCAGCCAAGAUUUUGAAACACAUCAGUGUGCUGCAUGCUGUUAAUGAUGUUCCUUUUCCAUACCAUUAGGAAAGGCAGAGACACUGCUGGCAUGGACAGGUAUGAAAACAGUUACUGACGUGGGUCUAAUUGCUCCCUCUGGGAUUUUCAGCAGUUGUAAAUCCAGAGAUGCAGUCCAUGUAUGUGUGAACUGAGAAGAAGGUGAGGGUCCUCACAACUCCAUGUCUGUCUCAAGAGCACUAUGGCUGAAAAUCCACUUCAGUGGACCCAGCCACAGAACUGCAGGAUGGUUUCUUGCCAUACACAGCUGUGUGUGACAAGGCAUUUCUGCUUCACUCACUUUGUUGAUCGCAUUUUAAACUUUUCCUCCUAAUUGUUGAGGCUGGAAAGCCUUGCAGAUAAUAUGUAGACCAUGAAGAGUGAUCAUUCAGUGUCUUUUCUAUAUCUAAUGUCCCUGUGGUUCUGGUCUUGGUUACACAGGUCAUCCUGCUGGCAUGAAUACUAUUGCUUCAGGCUUGAGUGUUGCAAGUACAAAUCUUACCCUAAAUAAAUAGUGAUGGAGAAUAGCCA